rnacentral:tRNA from 1 species
GGUACUGAAGCGUGUAGCAUGGUAGCACAGCGGUCUUUGACACCGUUAGUUUAGGUUCAAAUCCUAGCGGGACAACCA